rnacentral:rRNA from 1 species
CACGCCGCGUGAGUGAUGAAGGUUUUCGGAUCGUAAAGCUCUGUUGUUAGGGAAGAACAAGUGCCGUUCAAAUAGGGCGGCACCUUGACGGUACCUAACCAGAAAGCCACGGCUAACUACGUGCCAGCAGCCGCGGUAAUACGUAGGUGGCAAGCGUUGUCCGGAAUUAUUGGGCGUAAAGGGCUCGCAGGCGGUUUCUUAAGUCUGAUGUGAAAGCCCCCGGCUCAACCGGGGAGGGUCAUUGGAAACUGGGGAACUUGAGUGCAGAAGAGGAGAGUGGAAUUCCACGUGUAGCGGUGAAAUGCGUAGAGAUGUGGAGGAACACCAGUGGCGAAGGCGACUCUCUGGUCUGUAACUGACGCUGAGGAGCGAAAGCGUGGGGAGCGAACAGGAUUAGAUACCCUGGUAGUCCACGCCGUAAACGAUGAGUGCUAAGUGUUAGGGGGUUUCCGCCCCUUAGUGCUGCAGCUAACGCAUUAA